rnacentral:rRNA from 1 species
UACGUAGGGACCGAGCGUUGUCCGGAAUCAUUGGGCGUAAAGAGCGUGUAGGCGGCCACUUAAGUCCUGCGUGAAAUCUUGCGGCUCAACCGCAAGCGGUCGUGGGAAACUGGGUGGCUAGAGUGCGGGAGAGGAGAGUGGAAUUCCUGGUGUAGCGGUGGAAUGCGCAGAUAUCAGGAAGAACACCCGUGGCGAAGGCGGCUCUCUGGACCGUAACUGACGCUGAGACACGAAAGCGUGGGUAGCAAACAGG